AUGGAUGCCCCGAACCAGGUUGUCAACUUCAGGCCCCAGGCCCACCAAGCUGCCACUCUUGGUGUUGUUAGAGAUUCAAAAAGAGUUAUUAGAGCACAAAGGAGUUGGCAUUAGUGUUCUUGAAAUGAGUCACAGAUCGUCAGAUUUUGCCAAGAUUAUUAAUAACACAGGGAUCCUGGGUGGGAAUUGUUAGCCAUUCCAGACAACUACAAGGUGAUUUUUGUGCAAGGAGGUGGGUGCAGCCAGUUCAGUGCGGUCCCCUUAAACUUGAUUGGCCUGAAAGCAUGAAGCUGUGCCGACUAUGUGGUGACAGGAGCUUGGUCAGCCAAGGCUGCAGACGCAGCCAAGAAGCUUGGAACUGUGAAUAUCAUCCACCCUAAGCUUGGGAGUUACACAAAAAUUCCAGAUCCAAGCACCUGGAACCUCAACCUAGAUGCCUCCUAUGUGUAUUAUUGUGCAAAUGAGACCAUGCAUGGUGUGGAGUUUGACUUUAUACCUGAUGCCAAGGGAUCAGUACUGGUCUGAGACCUGUCCUCAAAUUUCCUGUCCAAGCCAGUGAAUGUUUCCAAGUUUGGUGUGAUUUUUGCUGGUGCCCAGAAGAACAUUGGCUCUGCUAGGGUCAUCUACAAUGACUCACUGGGGUUUGCUCUCAGAGAAUGCCCCUCAGUCCUGGAAUACAAGGUGCAGGCCAGAAACAGCUCUUUGUACAACACACCUCCCCAUCUUUCAGAAUGUAUGCCAUGGGCUUGGUCCUGGAGUGGAUUAAGAACAACGGCAGUGCCACAACCAUGGAGAAGCUUAGUUCCAUCAAAUCUGAGAUGAUUUAUGAGAUUACUGAUAAUUCUCAAGGAUUCUAUGUAUGUCCAGUGGAGCCCCAAAGUAGAAUCAAGAUGAAUAUUCCAUUCUGCAUUGGCACUGCCAACGGAGAUGAUGCUUUAGAAAAAAGAUUUCUUGAUAAUGCUCUUGAACUCAGUAUGAUAUCCUUGAAAGGACAUAGGUCUGUGGGAGCCAUCUGGGCCUCUCUGUGUAAUACCAUCACAAAUGAAGAUGUUCAGAAGCUGGCUGCCUUCAUGAAAAAUUUUUUGGAGAUGUAUCAGCUAUGAAAACAUCCUAACCAGUAUAUAUUCUGCCCUUCAAUGACAUGCAAAAUUUAAGGCUUCUUGGGAAUGGCUACCAAAAGUUAACAAAUAUGGUAUUUUUCUCAAAUUAACGUGCUUAUUCUAGAUUCUUUUUUCAGAGAACAACAGCAAAACAUCCACAGCUCUGCAAAGCUAGUGGGACCUAAUAGCCAACUUAAUUCUGUCUUGAGCUGGAAGCAUUUUUAAAAUUUUCCUGUUGCU